CCGCUGAAACUUAAGCAUAUCAAUAAGCGGAGGAAAAGAAACCAACAGGGAUUGCCCUAGUAACGGCGAGUGAAGCGGCAACAGCUCAAAUUUGAAAUCUGGCCUCGGCCCGAGUUGUAAUUUGCAGAGGAUGCUUCUGGCGCGGUGCCUUCCGAGUUCCCUGGAACGGGACGCCACAGAGGGUGAGAGCCCCGUAUGGUCGGACACCAAGCCUGUGUGAAGCUCCUUCGACGAGUCGAGUAGUUUGGGAAUGCUGCUCUAAAUGGGAGGUAAAUCUCUUCUAAAGCUAAAUACCGGCCAGAGACCGAUAGCGCACAAGUAGAGUGAUCGAAAGAUGAAAAGCACCUUGAAAAGGGGGUUAAAUAGUACGUGAAAUUGUUGAAAGGGAAGCACUUAUGACCAGACUUGGGCCGGGCGGCUCAUCAGGGGUUCUCCCCUGUGCACUCCGCCCGGCACAGGCCAGCAUCGGUUUUCGCGGGGGGAUAAGACCGACGGGAACGUAGCACCCUCCGGGGUGUGUUAUAGCCCGGCGGACGAUACCCUCGCGGGGACCGAGGACCGCGCUUCGGCAAGGAUGCUGGCGUAAUGGUCAUCAGUGACCCGUCUUGAAACACGGACCAAGGAGUCGUCCAUUAGAGCGAGCGUUUGGGUGUAAAACCCGCACGCGUAAUGAAAGUGAACGCAGGUGAGAGCUUCGGCGCAUCAUCGACCGAUCCUGAUGUUCUCGGAAGGAUUUGAGUAAGAGUUUUAACGGACGGACCCGAAAGACAGUGAACUAUGCUUGUAUAGGGUGAAGCCAGAGGAAACUCUGGUGGAGGCUCGCAGCGGUUCUGAACGUGCAAUCGAUCGUC
rnacentral:rRNA from 1 species